rnacentral:rRNA from 1 species
GUAGGGUGCGAGCGUUAAUCGGAAUUACUGGGCGUAAAGUGUGCGCAGGCGGCAGAGCAAGUCGAGUGUGAAAGCCCCGGGCUUAACUUGGGAAUUGCGCUCGAAACUACUUUGCUGGAGUGUGGCAGAGGAAGGUGGAAUUCCACGUGUAGCGGUGAAAUGCGUAGAGAUGUGGAGGAACACCGAUGGCGAAGGCAGCCUUCUGGGCCAACACUGACGCUCAUGCACGAAAGCGUGGGGAGCAAACAGGAUUAGAUACCCUGGUAGUCCACGCCCUAAACGAUGAUGACUAGUUGUUGGAGGAGUUAAAUCCUUUAGUAACGCAGCUAACGCGUGAAGUCAUCCGCCUGGGGAGUACGGUCGCAAGAUUAAA